UAGGAGGAAAUAGCAUAAGGUCAUGGAAGAGAGAGGGGUGUAGAUUACCUGAUGUCCAAAUAGGAGGUAAUAGCGUAAGGUCCUGGGAGACAAAGGUGUUGUAGAUUACCUGAUGUCCAAAUAGGAGGAAAUAGCAUAAGGUGCUGGAAGAGAGAGGGCUUUAGAUUACCCGAUGUCCAGAUAGGAGGUAGUAGCAUAAGGUCCUGGAAGAGAGAGGGUUGUAGAUUACAUGAUGUCCAAAUAGGAGGUAAGAGCAUAAGGUCCGGGAAGAGAGAGGGC
rnacentral:lncRNA from 1 species